CGUAUGUGCGGGUCAAGAUCUA
rnacentral:siRNA from 1 species